CAGCAGCCGCGGUAAUACGUAGGGUGCGAGCGUUAAGCGGAAUUACUGGGCGUAAAGCGUGCGCAGGCGGUUCGUUAAGACAGAUGCGAAAUCCCCGGGCUUAACCUGGGAAUGGCAGUGGAUACUGGCAAGCUAGAGUGUGUCAGAGGAUGGUGGAAUUCCCGGUGUAGCGGUGAAAUGCGUAGAGAUCGGGAGGAACAUCAGUGGCGAAGGCGGCCAUCUGGGACAACACUGACGCUGAGGCACGAAAGCGUGGGGAGCAAACAGGAUUAGAUACCCGCGUAGUCCCUGUCUCUUAUAC
rnacentral:rRNA from 1 species